GGCCGCCUAGCGCAAUGGUAGCGCGUUGGUUUUCGGCACCAAAGGUUGUGGAUUCGAGUCCCACGGUGGUCG
rnacentral:tRNA from 1 species